GCCCACCUAGCUCAAUCGGAUAGAGCGUCAGACUCUUAAUUUGCUUACUAGGUGAUGGAAAAAAUUAUCUGAAGGCUGCGAGUUUGACCCUCGCGGUGGGCU
rfam:Leucoagaricus sp. SymC.cos contig2740, whole genome shotgun sequence.